GAUGAACGCUGGCGGCGUGCCUAAUACAUGCAAGUCGAGCGAACGGACGAGAAGCUUGCCUUUCUGAUGUUAGCGGCGGACGGGUGAGUAACACGUGGAUAACCUACCUAUAAGACUGGGAUAACUUCGGGAAACCGGAGCUAAUACCGGAUAAUAUUUUGAACCGCAUGGUUCAAAAGUGAAAGACGGUCUUGCUGUCACUUAUAGAUGGAUCCGCGCUGCAUUGGCUAGUUGGUAAGGUAACGGCUUACCAAGGCAACGAUGCAUAGCCGACCUGAGAGGGUGAUCGGCCACACUGGAACUGAGACACGGUCCAGACUCCUACGGGAGGCAGCAGUAGGGAAUCUUCCGCAAUGGGCGAAAGCCUGACGGAGCAACGCCGCGUGAGUGAUGAAGGUCUUCGGAUCGUAAAACUCUGUUAUUAGGGAAGAACAUAUGUGUAAGUAACUGUGCACAUCUUGACGGUACCUAAUCAGAAAGCCACGGCUAACUACGUGCCAGCAGCCGCGGUAAUACGUAGGUGGCAAGCGUUAUCCGGAAUUAUUGGGCGUAAAGCGCGCGUAGGCGGUUUUUUAAGUCUGAUGUGAAAGCCCACGGCUCAACCGUGGAGGGUCAUUGGAAACUGGAAAACUUGAGUGCAGAAGAGGAAAGUGGAAUUCCAUGUGUAGCGGUGAAAUGCGCAGAGAUGUGGAGGAACACCAGUGGCGAAGGCGACUUUCUGGUCUGUAACUGACGCUGAUGUGCGAAAGCGUGGGGAUCAAACAGGAUUAGAUACCCUGGUAGUCCACGCCGUAAACGAUGAGUGCUAAGUGUUAGGGGGUUUCCGCCCCUUAGUGCUGCAGCUAACGCAUUAAGCACUCCGCCUGGGGAGUACGACCGCAAGGUUGAAACUCAAAGGAAUUGACGGGGGCCCGCACAAGCGGUGGAGCAUGUGGUUUAAUUCGAAGCAACGCGAAGAACCUUACCAAAUCUUGACAUCCUUUGACAACUCUAGAGAUAGAGCCUUCCCCUUCGGGGGACAAAGUGACAGGUGGUGCAUGGUUGUCGUCAGCUCGUGUCGUGAGAUGUUGGGUUAAGUCCCGCAACGAGCGCAACCCUUAAGCUUAGUUGCCAUCAUUAAGUUGGGCACUCUAAGUUGACUGCCGGUGACAAACCGGAGGAAGGUGGGGAUGACGUCAAAUCAUCAUGCCCCUUAUGAUUUGGGCUACACACGUGCUACAAUGGACAAUACAAAGGGCAGCGAAACCGCGAGGUCAAGCAAAUCCCAUAAAGUUGUUCUCAGUUCGGAUUGUAGUCUGCAACUCGACUACAUGAAGCUGGAAUCGCUAGUAAUCGUAGAUCAGCAUGCUACGGUGAAUACGUUCCCGGGUCU
rnacentral:rRNA from 1 species